GGACUACCCGGGUUUCUAAUCCUGUUUGCUCCCCUAGCUUUCGUCCCUCAGCGUCAGUUGCGGUCCAGCGAGCCGCUUUCGCCUCUGGUGUUCCUGCAGAUAUCUACGCAUUUCACCGCUACACCUGCAAUUCCACUCGCCUGUCCCGCACUCUAGCGCGGCAGUUUCGGGAGCAGCCCUGGAGUUAAGCUCCAGGAUUUCACUUCCGACUUGCCACACCGCCUACGGACCCUUUACGCCCAAUAAUUCCGAGCAACGCUGGCCCCCUACGUUUUACCGCGGCUGCUGGCAC
rnacentral:rRNA from 1 species